rnacentral:rRNA from 1 species
CACGUAGGGUCCGAGCGUUGUCCGGAGUUACUGGGCGUAAAGCGCGCGCAGGCGGCGGUGCUGGCCCGGCGUGAAAGCCCCCGGCUCAACCGGGGAGGGUCGUCGGGGACCGCACCGCUUGAGGGCGGUAGGGGCUGGUGGAAUGCCUGGUGUAGUGGUGAAAUGCGUAGAGAUCAGGCGGAACACCCGUGGCGAAGGCGGCCAGCUGGGCCGUCCCUGACGCUGAGGCGCGAAAGCCAGGGGAGCAAACGGG